rnacentral:rRNA from 1 species
UUUCCUCUUCGGAGGCACCUGCACAGGUGCUGCAUGGCUGUCGUCAGCUCGUGUCGUGAGAUGUUGGGUUAAGUCCCGCAACCGAGCGCAACCCUUAUCCCCAGUUGCCAUCAGGUAAAGCUGGGAACUCUGGGGAGACUGCCGGUGGAUAAACCGGAGGAAGGCGGGGAUGACGUCAAGUCCUCAUGGCCCUUACAUCCCGGGCUACACACGUGCUACAAUGGCAGGUACAGAGGGCUGCGAAGCCGCGAGGUGGAGCGAAUCCCAGAAACCUGUCUCAGUCCGGAUUGAAGUCUGCAACUCGACUUCAUGAAGGCGGAAUCGCUAGUAACCGCGAAUCAGCAGGUCGCGGUGAAUACGUUCCCGGGCCUU